rnacentral:rRNA from 1 species
GACAGAGGGUGCAAACGUUGUUCGGAAUUACUGGGCGUAAAGCGCGUGUAGGCAGCUUGGCAAGUCGGGUGUGAAAGCCCUGGGCUCAACCUAGGAAGUGCACUCGAAACUGCUUCGCUUGAGUAUCGGAGAGGAAGGCGGAAUUCUCGGUGUAGAGGUGAAAUUCGUAGAUAUCGAGAGGAACACCAGUGGCGAAGGCGGCUUUCUGGACGAUCACUGACGCUGAGACGCGAAAGCGUGGGGAGCAAACAGG